GUUGGGCCUGCUCGGUGAGAAGAAAAAUUUAACAGCUGCGGUAUUAUAACUGUACUAAGGUAGCAUAAUAAUUUGCCUUAUAAAUUAAGGCUAGAAUGAAUGGUUUGACGAAAAUUAGACUGUCUUUAUUUUAUUUGUUAGAAAUUAAUUUUUAUAGUGAAAAAGCUUGAAUAAUUUAAGGGGACGAGAAGACCCUAUUGAGCUUUAUUUAUUAAUAUUUAAAUAUAAAUAUAUAAUUUAUAUUAUGAAAAUUAUGUUGUAUAUAUAUAUAUUUAAUUGGAUUUAAUUUUGAUUGGGGUGAUCAAGGAAUAAAGAUAAAGUAACUUCCUUAAAAUUAAUGAUUGUUUUUAUGGAGUAAUAAACCAAGUUUUUUGCUUAUAAGAUAAGUUACCAUAGGGGUAACAGCGUAAUUUUUUUUGAGAGUUCAUAUUGAAAAAAGAGAUUGCGACCUCGAUGUUGGAUUAAAAAUUACCUUAAGG
rnacentral:rRNA from 1 species